rnacentral:rRNA from 1 species
AGGAUGAACGCUGGCGGCGUGCCUAACACAUGCAAGUCGAACGGAUCCUUCGGGGUUAGUGGCGGACGGGUGAGUAACACGUGGGAACGUGCCUUUUGGUUCGGAACAACUCAGGGAAACUUGAGCUAAUACCGGAUGUGCCCUUCGGGGGAAAGAUUUAUCGCCAUUAGAGCGGCCCGCGUCUGAUUAGCUAGUUGGUGAGGUAAAGGCUCACCAAGGCUACGAUCAGUAGCUGGUCUGAGAGGAUGAUCAGCCACACUGGGACUGAGACACGGCCCAGACUCCUACGGGAGGCAGCAGUGGGGAAUCUUGCGCAAUGGGCGAAAGCCUGACGCAGCCAUGCCGCGUGAAUGAUGAAGGUCUUAGGAUUGUAAAAUUCUUUCAGCAGGGACGAUAAUGACGGUACCUGCAGAAGAAGCCCCGGCUAACUUCGUCGCCAGCCAGCCGC